rnacentral:rRNA from 1 species
GAUCAUGGCUCAGAGUGAACGCUGGCGGUAGGCCUAACACAUGCAAGUCGAACGGCAGCACAGUAAGAGCUUGCUCUUAUGGGUGGCGAGUGGCGGACGGGUGAGGAAUACAUCGGAAUCUACCUUUUCGUGGGGGAUAACGUAGGGAAACUUACGCUAAUACCGCAUACGACCUCGGUGAAGCAGGGACCGUCGGCCGUUGCGCGGAGUAGAUGAGCCGGAUGUCGGUAGUUAGUCUAGUUGGUCGGGGG